rnacentral:rRNA from 1 species
UACAGAGGUCUCAAGCGUUGUUCGGAUUCAUUGGGCGUAAAGGGUGCGUAGGCGGCGCGGUAAGUCAGGUGUGAAAUCUCGGAGCUUAACUCCGAAACUGCAUUCGAUACUGCCGUGCUUGAGGACUGGAGAGGAGACUGGAAUUUACGGUGUAGCGGUGAAAUGCGUAGAUAUCGUAAGGAAGACCAGUGGCGAAGGCGGGGUCUCUGGACAGUUCCUGACGUGAGGCACGAAGGUCAGGGGGGGCAAACGGG